GCCGAUCAGGCUGUUGGUGAGGUAAUGGCCCACCAAACCUAAAACCGGUACGGGCUCUGAGAGGAGAAGCCCGGAGAUGGGCACUGAGACAAGGGCCCAGGCCCUAUGGGGCGCAGCAGGCGCGAAAACUCUGCAAUAAGCGAAAGCUUGACAGGGUUAUUCUGAGUGAUUUCCGCUAAGGAAAUCUUUUGGCACCUCUAAAAAUGGUGCAGAAUAAGGGGUGGGCAAGCCUGGUGUCAGCCGCCGCGGUAAUACCAGCACCCCGAGUGGUCGGGACGAUUAUUGGGCCUAAAGCAUCCGUAGCCGGUUCUACAAGUCUUCCGUUAAAUCCACCUGCUUAACAGAUGGGCUGCGGAGGAUACUAUGGAGCUAGGAGGCGGGAGAGGCAAGCGGUACUUAGUGGGUAGGGGUAAAAUCCGUUGAUCCAUUGAAGACCACCAGUGGCGAAGGCGGCUUGCCAGAACGCACUCGACGGUGAGGGAUGAAAGCUGGGGGAGCAAACCGGAUUAGAUACCCGGGUAGUCCCAGCUGUAAACGAUGCAGACUCGGUGAUGAAUAGGCUUCGUGCCUAUUCAGUGCCGCAGGGAAGCCGUUAAGUCUGCCGCCUGGGGAGUACGGUCGCAAGACUGAAGCUUAA
rnacentral:rRNA from 1 species